AGUGAACGCUGGCGGUAGGCCUAACACAUGCAAGUCGAACGGCAGCACAGGAGAGCUUGCUCUCUGGGUGGCGAGUGGCGGACGGGUGAGGAAUACAUCAGAAUCUACUUUUUCGUGGGGGAUAACGUAGGGAAACUUACGCUAAUACCGCAUACGACCUACGGGUGAAAGCAGGGGACCUUCGGGCCUUGCGCGAUUGAAUGAGCCGAUGUCGGAUUAGCUAGUUGGCGGGGUAAAGGCCCACCAAGGCGACGAUCCGUAGCUGGUCUGAGAGGAUAAUCAGCCACACAGGAACUGAGACACGGUCCAGACUCCUACGGGAGGCAGCAGUGGGGAAUAUUGGACAAUGGGCGCAAGCCUGAUCCAGCCAUACCGCGUGGGUGAAGAAGGCCUUCGGGUUGUAAAGUCCUUUUGUUGGGAAAGAAAUCCAGCUGGCUAAUACCCGGUUGGGAUGACGGUACCCAAAGAAUAAGCACCGGCUAACUUCGUGCCAGCCGCCGCAGUAA
rnacentral:rRNA from 1 species